GCCGACAUAGCUUAGUUGGUAGAGCAACUGACUUACUCGCUAAAUCUCAGCAAUAUACGAGCAGCAGUAGGUCCCCUUCUUUCAUAAAUAGCCGACUCUUGGUGCCGGCGCCA
rnacentral:tRNA from 1 species